UCGCCUGUUUAUCAAAAACAUGUCUUUUUGUAAUUUAUUUAAAGUCUAACCUGCCCAUUGAAUAAUUUUAAAAGGCUGCGGUAUUUUGACCGUACAAAGGUAGCAUAAUCAUUAGUUUUUUAAUUGAAAACUCGUAUGAAUGGUUCAAUGAAAUAUUUUCUGUUUCAUAAAAAUUUAUAUAGAAAUUAAUUUUUUAGUUAAAAAGCUGAAAUGUAAUUAAAAGACGAGAAGACCCUAUAGAGUUUUAUAUAACAGUUUAUAUAAUUUAUUUAUAAUAAUUAAAGUUUUAUAAUUUUUUAUAUUUUGUUGGGGUGACAAUAAAAUUUUAUAACCUUUUAUUAUUUUUUAACAAUGAUUUUUGAAUAAUUGAUCCAUUUUUAAUGAUUAAAAGAUUAAAUUACCUUAGGGAUAACAGCGUAAUUUUUUUGUAGAGUUCUUAUCGAUAAAAAAUUUUGCGACCUCGAUGUUGGAUUAAGAAUAAUUUUAGGUGUAGAAGCUUAUUAAUUAGGUCUGUUCGACCUUUAAAUUCUUACGUGAUCUGAGUUCAGACCGGA
rnacentral:rRNA from 1 species